CCUCUCUCAGUUCGGACUGGAGUCUGCAACCCGACUCCACGAAGCUGGAUUCGCUAGUAAUCGCGCAUCAGCCACGGCGCGGUGAAUACGUUCCCGGGCCUUGUACACACCGCCCGUCAAGCCAUGGGAGCCGGGGGUACCUGAAGUGCGUAACCGCGAGGAGCGCCCUAGGGUAAAACUGGUGACUGGGGCUAAGUCGUAACAAGGUAAC
rnacentral:rRNA from 1 species